rnacentral:rRNA from 1 species
CAGCCGCGUAAUUCCAGCUCCAAUAGCGUAUAUUAAAGUUGUUGCAGUUAAAAAGCUCGUAGUUGAAUUUCAGGCCUGGCUGGACGGUCCGCCCUUCGGGUGAGUACUGUCUGUGGUCGGGUCCUACCUUCUGGCGAAGCGUCAUGGCCUUAACCGGCCGUGGCGGGGAACCAGGACUUUUACUGUGAAAAAAUUAGAGUGUUCAAAGCAGGCAAUCGCUUGGAUACAUUAGCAUGGAAUAAUGGAAUAGGACAAUGGUUCUAUUUGUUGGUUUCUAGGACCGUUGUAAUGAUUAAUAGGGAUAGUUGGGGGCAUUAGUAUUCAAUUGUCAGAGGUGAAAUUCUUGGAUUUAUUGAAGACUAACUACUGCGAAAGCAUUUGCCAAGGAUGUUUUCAUUAAUCAAGAACGAAAGUUAGGGGAUCGAAGACGAUCAGAUACCGUCGUAGUCUUAACCAUAAACUAUGCCGACUAGGAAUCGGGCGAUGUUGAAAAAAUGACGCGCUCGGCACCUCAUG